rnacentral:other from 3 species
AUUACCCUGGGUUGCUCGCCAGUCGGUAAUGUCCCUGAGCCGAUAAUCUUAUUUCAGGGAAGCACAGAGCACACGGUGUGCAUGUCCGUUCAAGGAAAGCCUAAUGUGUGUUUGCGUUUCCCGCCUUGAACCAUUGGGUUCAAGGGCUAAACCGACAGCGGCAACUUGGGUCCUUU